ACGGUAACAGGAAGCAGCUUGCUGUUUCGCUGACGAGUGGCGGACGGGUGAGUAAUGUCUGGGAAACUGCCUGAUGGAGGGGGAUAACUACUGGAAACGGUAGCUAAUACCGCAUAACGUCGCAAGACCAAAGAGGGGGACCUUCGGGCCUCUUGCCAUCGGAUGUGCCCAGAUGGGAUUAGCUAGUAGGUGGGGUAACGGCUCACCUAGGCGACGAUCCCUAGCUGGUCUGAGAGGAUGACCAGCCACACUGGAACUGAGACACGGUCCAGACUCCUACGGGAGGCAGCAGUGGGGAAUAUUGCACAAUGGGCGCAAGCCUGAUGCAGCCAUGCCGCGUGUAUGAAGAAGGCCUUCGGGUUGUAAAGUACUUUCAGCGGGGAGGAA
rnacentral:rRNA from 1 species